rnacentral:miRNA from 1 species
CCAGGACCAUCAGUGUGACUAU